AGCGAACGCUGGCGGCAGGCUUAACACAUGCAAGUCGAACGCAUCCUUCGGGGUGAGUGGCAGACGGGUGAGUAACACGUGGGAACGUGCCCUUCGGUUCGGAAUAACUCAUGGAAACGUGAGCUAAUACCGGAUACGCCCUUUUGGGGAAAGGUUUACUGCCGAAGGAUCGGCCCGCGUCUGAUUAGCUAGUUGGUGGGGUAAUGACCUACCAAGGCGACGAUCAGUAGCUGGUCUGAGAGGAUGAUCAGCCACACUGGGACUGAGACACGGCCCAGACUCCUACGGGAGGCAGCAGUGGGGAAUAUUGGACAAUGGGCGCAAGCCUGAUCCAGCCAUGCCGCGUGAGUGAUGAAGGCCUUAGGGUUGUAAAGCUCUUUUGUCCGGGACGAUAAUGACGGUACCGGAAGAAUAAGCCCCGGCUAACUUCGUGCCAGCCGCCGCCGUAA
rnacentral:rRNA from 1 species